GCGGGGAUGUCCGAGCUGGUCAAAGGAGGCAGGCUCAGGACCUGCUGGCGUAGAGAGUCCCGUUUCCGGGAGCCGCGAAAGCCUGCGCGAGUUCGAAUAGAGACAUCACCAUGAUGCCCCUCGAGUAUCUCGCUCCCCGCACCA
rnacentral:tRNA from 1 species